rnacentral:rRNA from 1 species
UACGUAGGGGGCUAGCGUUGUCCGGAAUCAUUGGGCGUAAAGCGCGCGUAGGCGGCCCGGUAAGUCCGCUGUGAAAGUCAAAGGCUCAACCUUUGAAUGUCAGCGGAUACUGCCAGGCUAGAGUCCGGAAGAGGCGAGUGGAACUCCUGGUGUAGCGGUGGAAUGCGCAGAUAUCAGGAGGAAUACCGAUGGCGAAGGCAGGUCUCUGGGCUAUAACUGACGCUCAUGCACGAAAGCGUGGGGAGCAAACAGG